rnacentral:rRNA from 1 species
AGAGUUUGAUCCUGGCUCAGGAUGAACGCUGGCGGCGUGCCUAACACAUGCAAGUCGAGCGAGAUAUUCGAAGCGGAUCCUUCGGGUGAAGCCUCGUUUGGAAAGCGGCGGACGGGUGAGUAACGCGUAGGUAACCUGCCUUGUAGAGAGGAAUAGCCAUUCGAAAGGAUGAUUAAUACCUCAUAAUAUUGUAGCUUCGCAUGGAGCAACAAUCAAAGGAGCAAUCCGCUACAAGAUGGACCCGCGGCGCAUUAGCUAGUUGGUGAGGUAACGGCUCACCAAGGCGACGAUGGGUAGCCGACCUGAGAGGGUGAACGGCCACAUUGGAACUGAGACACGGUCCAAACUCCUACGGGAGGCAGCAGUGGGGAAUAUUGCACAAUGGGGGAAACCCUGAUGCAGCAACGCCGCGUGAGUGAAGAAGUAUUUCGGUAUGUAAAGCUCUAUCAGCAGGGAAGAAAAUGACGGUACCUGACUAAGAAGCCCCGGCUAACUACGUGCCAGCAGCCGCGGUAAUACGUAGGGGGCAAGCGUUAUCCGGAUUUACUGGGUGUAAAGGGAGCGUAGACGGUGAGGCAAGUCUGAUGUGAAAGCUAUGGGCUCAACCCAUAAACUGCAUUGGAAACUGUCUUGCUAGAGUGUCGGAGAGGUAAGUGGAAUUCCUAGUGUAGCGGUGAAAUGCGUAGAUAUUAGGAGGAACACCAGUGGCGAAGGCGGCUUACUGGACGAUAACUGACGUUGAGGCUCGAAAGCGUGAGGAGCAAACAGGAUUACAUACCCUGGUAGUCCACGCGGUAAACGAAUGAAUACUAGGUGUUGGGUGGCGAUAGCCAUUCGGUGCCGCAGCAAACGCAAUAAGUAUUCCACCUGGGGAGUACGUUCGCAAGAAUGAAAACUCAAAGGAAUUGACGGGGACCCGCACAAGCGGUGGAGCAUGUGGUUUAAUUCGAAGCAACGCGAAGAACCUUACCAAAUCUUGACAUCCCGAUGACCAACUAUGUAAUGUAGUCUCUCUUCGGAGCAUCGGUGACAGGUGGUGCAUGGUUGUCGUCAGCUCGUGUCGUGAGAUGUUGGGUUAAGUCCCGCAACGAGCGCAACCCUUGUCCUUAGUAGCCAGCAGUCAGAUGGGCACUCUAGGGAGACUGCCGGGGAUAACCCGGAGGAAGGUGGGGAUGACGUCAAAUCAUCAUGCCCCUUAUGAUUUGGGCUACACACGUGCUACAAUGGCGUAAACAAAGAGAAGCGAAACCGUGAGGUGGAGCAAAUCUCAAAAAUAACGUCUCAGUUCGGAUUGUAGUCUGCAACUCGACUACAUGAAGCUGGAAUCGCUAGUAAUCGCGAAUCAGCAUGUCGCGGUGAAUACGUUCCCGGGUCUUGUACACACCGCCCGUCA